rnacentral:rRNA from 1 species
CAGCCGCCGCGGGAAUACGGAGGGUGCAAGCGUUAAUCGGAAUUACUGGGCGUAAAGCGCACGUAGGCGGCUUGGUAAGUUAGAGGUGAAAGCCCGGAGCUCAACUCCGGAAUUGCCUUUAAGACUGCCGAGCUAGUAGGUGAGAGAGGUAAGUGGAAUUCCGAGUGUAGAGGUGAAAUGCGUAGAUAUAGGAAGGAACACCAGUGGCGAAGGCGACCACCUGGACUAAUACUGACACUGAGGUGCGAAAGCGUGGGGAGCAAACAGGAUUAGAUACCCCAGUAGUCCCUGUCUCUUAUAC